rnacentral:rRNA from 1 species
UACGGGGGGAGCAAGCGUUGUUCGGAUUUCCUGGGCGUAAAGGGCGCGUAGGCGGCCACCGCAAGUCGGUUGUGAAAUCUCCGGGCUUAACCCGGAAAGGUCAACUGAUACUGCGGGGCUAGAGUGCAGAAGGGGCAACUGGAAUUCUCGGUGUAGCGGUGAAAUGCGUAGAUAUGUGGAGGAACACCGAUGGCGAAGGCAACCCCCUGGGUUAACACUGACGCUCAUGCACGAAAGCGUGGGGAGCAAACAGG